UACGUAGGCAGCAAGCGUUGUUCGGAGUUACUGGGCGUAAAGGGUGCGUAGGCGGUCCUAUAAGUAUGGUGUGGAAAUCUCCCGGCUUAACUGGGAGGGUGCGCUAUAGACUGUGGGACUAGAGUGUGGGAGAAGGAAAGUGGAAUUCCUGGUGUAAGCGGUGAAAUGCGUAGAUAUCAGGAGGAACACCGGUGGUGUAAACGGUCUUUCUGGACCAUAACUGACGCUGAGGCACGAAAGCGUGGGUAGCAAACAGG
rnacentral:rRNA from 1 species